AGGAGUGAAGACUGUACAGUAUCUCUAGAAGGCUGAGACCUGUGGCACCUUAGAUAGAGCUACUGCUGGCAGGGACCCAAGAAGCAAGAGGAGCUCCUGGCUGGCUGCUGGGACUGGAUAGUUGCAUACCCUGAGGAAGGGUGAAGAAAGUGCCAGGCUAUGGGUAAGUGGGCCAGGAAGACACAGCAGAAGUGAGAGGAAUUUGAGGUGCAGCAGGAAGCUGUGAUCCACAGGGUCUCUGGGCAGGCUGGGACCCAGAGUAGUGGGCAGGUCUUGAUUCCCACGACUUGCCACUGGGGAAGUGGCAGGACAAUUGGCUGCAAUCACCACUGGGGAAGUUGCUGGACUCCCCUGGAAGGGGGAGAACACAGACUGUGACAUGGGCCAGAGGGCUGAACCAUGAAGAGGAUGCUGUGGUUCCUGAUGCGACGAGAGGGGCUGCAGACAGAGUGUGAAGAAGCAAUGACAGCGUGCAGACCAUGGAUAGUAGCAUCAACCUUGAGCUAAUCCCCAGAGCAACCUGGAAGAAGAGCCAGUCUGGUGCAUCACAUGGGAUGGAGACAUCGUCCUGCUUUGUUCCAAAUGCAGAACAGAAAUAUCUAUUGGGGAUUUCUGGCCACAUUCUGAAGCAGAGGCUCAAAACCAGACUCUCCCUAGGUCUGAAAGCCACCGCCCCGUGCAAAAUGCCAUAUUCUGCUGCCACCAUCUGGAGAAGCCACAGAGGCAUCUGUCUCUGGCCCACAGUCACUCUAGUCACCGGCAGUGAUCAAGUUAUUUCGCUGUCUUGUUUCUUUUUGCUGGAAGCCCAGUUACCAUUUCUGGCCUCGCUGCCCUGUAGUGCAGCUGCAAGUUGCUAGGUGAUAUUGCUUGGUGAAUGGAAAUCAGGAAGCCAAGCACUGCAAUGCUGUGGGUCCUCAGCAACAUGCCUGCGUUAAAGGAGUCCUGAAUGAGGAGGGGGAAAGAACAGAAGUUGCAAAGAUGUUGUGUACAUGAAAGGUGAAGUCGCAUCCUGAUGCAUCAUUGCAAUCUCAUCUCAUAGUGACAUGGCACUGUGGAGUCCUGAACCAUUGAGGCACAGAGAUGCUGCUAUACUAAACAAUCUAAAGGGAGCCUCUCUGUACUUGAGGGCCUAAUACGAUAGCUGUUAAAUUGGCUGCUUAGCAUGCAGAACCAACUAGAUUAUUUUGGGAUCCAUUCGCAAGCUUUGAGCUAUGGCUCAGUCUCCAGAUGUGCUGCCUCCAGCUCCUGAGAACUGUCUGAGAAUACCUGGGCCAUGUACCAAAAUGGAGAUGGGAAGAGCUGGGGUGGACAGGCUGGCAGCCCUGAGGCACAUGGCUCAUUGUUUCCCUGAAUACAGGCUCUUGGAAGCCACCCUGAGGAGCCUACAUGGCUUGGAACAGAAUUGCAGUCCUCAGUCCAGCAGCAGGCAUCACUGUGAUGAUUACACAGUGAUGGGAGCAAGCUUUGGGCAAGGCCCCACAUACCCCAUGGGAAGCUGGACAUACAGUCUGCAGCCAGACCUCCUGUGUUCUGGCACUUCAGGCCGAGUUCUGUGGCAGCUCCAAAUAAAUGAAGUAGAGUUUUCACUAAAUUAGCAAUAAAAAUGAGUUAUAUAACCAGUACCUUAUUCCUUGUGACUGAACUUGAGAUGAAAUUCCAUUUAGUU